rnacentral:rRNA from 1 species
AACGAGAGACCCGGUGAAAUUAUACUACCUGUGAAGAUGCAGGUUACCCGCGACAGGACGGAAAGACCCCGUGGAGCUUUACUGCAGCCUGAUAUGGAAUUUUGGUAUCGCUUGUACAGGAUAGGUGGGAGCCUGGGAAGCCGGAGCGCCAGCUUCGGUGGAGGCGGCGGUGGGAUACCACCCUGGCGGUAUUGAAGUUCUAACCCGCACCCCUGAUCGGGGUGGGAGACAGUGUCAGGCGGGCAGUUUGACUGGGGCGGUCGCCUCCCAAAAAGUAACGGAGGCGCCCAAAGGUUCCCUCAGAAUGGUUGGAAAUCAUUCGGAGAGUGCAAAGGCACAAGGGAGCUUGACUGCGAGACGGACAGGUCGAGCAGGGACGAAAGUCGGGCUUAGUGAUCCGGUGGUUCCGCAUGGAAGGGCCAUCGCUCAACGGAUAAAAGCUACCCCGGGGAUAACAGGCUGAUCUCCCCCAAGAGUCCACAUCGACG